AAUUACAUACAUUUAUACGUAAACGAAUACAAUGGUAGGCUAUAUAAACAUAAUUAAAUUAAACAAAAUUAUGAACAAAAUACCAAAAGUCUACAUAAACCCCUCUUUCUUGGGGUAUAACUUUGAUACUGUAUAAGUGUUCUCGAAAUAAACUCUUUGAAAAAAUCCAUUUGGCCGCACUCAGUUAUUGUAAUAUUUGACAGCACGUUG